rnacentral:rRNA from 1 species
CAUGCAAGUCGAGGGGAAACGACAUCGAAAGCUUGCUUUUGAUGGGCGUCGACCGGCGCACGGGUGAGUAACGCGUAUCCAACCUGCCCAUCACUUGGGGAUAACCUUGCGAAAGUAAGACCAAUACCCAAUGAUAUCUCUAGAAGGCAUCUGAAAGAGAUUAAAGAUUUAUCGGUGAUGGAUGGGGAUGCGUCUGAUUAGCUUGUUGGCGGGGUAACGGCCCACCAAAGCAACGAUCAGUAGGGGUUCUGAGAGGAAGGUCCCCCACAUUGGAACUGAGACACGGUCCAAACUCCUACGGGAGGCAGCAGUGAGGAAUAUUGGUCAAUGGACGAGAGUCUGAACCAGCCAAGUAGCGUGCAGGAUGACGGCCCUAUGGGUUGUAAACUGCUUUUAUAAGGGAAUAAAGUGAGUCUCGUGAGACUUUUUGCAUGUACCUUAUGAAUAAGGACCGGCUAAUUCCGUGCCAGCAGCCGCGGUAAUACGGAAGGUCCGGGCGUUAUCCGGAUUUAUUGGGUUUAAAGGGAGCGUAGGCCGGAGAUUAAGCGUGUUGUGAAAUGUAGAUGCUCAACAUCUGCACUGCAGCGCGAACUGGUUUCCUUGAGUACGCACAAAGUGGGCGGAAUUCGUGGUGUAGCGGUGAAAUGCUUAGAUAUCACGAAGAACUCCGAUUGCGAAGGCAGCUCACUGGAGCGCAACUGACGCUGAAGCUCGAAAGUGCGGGUAUCGAACAGGAUUAGAUACCCUGGUAGUCCGCACGGUAAACGAUGGAUGCCCGCUGUUGGUCUGAAUAGGUCAGCGGCCAAGCGAAAGCAUUAAGCAUCCCACCUGGGGAGUACGCCGGCAACGGUGAAACUCAAAGGAAUUGAC